AGAGUUUGAUCCUGGCUCAGGAUGAACGCUGGCGGCGUGCCUAACACAUGCAAGUCGAGCGGAAAUACCAGAAAGUAUUCGUACCGGAAGGUAUUUUAGCGGCGGACGGGUGAGUAACACGUGAGCAACCUGCCUUCAGCUGGGGAAUAACAUUGGGAAACCAGUGCUAAUACCGCAUAACGUCCAUGGGGGACAUCCCAUGUGGACCAAAGGAGAAAUCCGGCAGAAGAUGGGCUCGCGUCCGAUUAGUUAGUUGGCGGGGUAACGGCCCACCAAGACCGCGAUCGGUAGCCGAACUGAGAGGUUGAUCGGCCACAUUGGGACUGAGACACGGCCCAGACUCCUACGGGAGGCAGCAGUGGGGAAUAUUGGGCAAUGGGGGAAACCCUGACCCAGCAACGCCGCGUGAAGGACGAAGGCCUUCGGGUUGUAAACUUCUUUGAUCAGGGACGAAACAAAUGACGGUACCUGAAGAACAAGCCACGGCUAACUACGUGCCAGCAGCCGCGGUAAUACGUAGGUGGCGAGCGUUAUCCGGAUUUACUGGGUGUAAAGGGCGUGUAGGCGGGUUUGCAAGUCGGGUGUGAAAGAUUCGGGCUUAACCCGGAGAGGUCAUCCGAAACUGCAGAUCUUGAGUGCUGGAGAGGAUAGUGGAAUUCCUGGUGUAGCGGUAAAAUGCGUAGAUAUCAGGAGGAAC
rnacentral:rRNA from 1 species